GGAGUUGUAGCUCAGUGGUAGAGCACAUGGCCUUGAACAUGUGAGGCACUGGGUUUGAUUCCCAGCACCA
rnacentral:tRNA from 1 species